rnacentral:rRNA from 1 species
AGGACGAACGCUGGCGGCGUGCUUAACACAUGCAAGUCGAGCGGUAAGGCCUUUCGGGGUACACGAGCGGCGAACGGGUGAGUAACACGUGGGUGAUCUGCCCUGCACUCUGGGAUAAGCCUGGGAAACUGGGUCUAAUACCGGAUAUGACCUGCUCUCGCAUGGGGGUGGGUGGAAAGAUUUAUCGGUGCAGGAUGGGCCCGCGGCCUAUCAGCUUGUUGGUGGGGUAAUGGGACCUACCAAGGCGACGACGGGUAGCCGACCUGAGAGGGUGACCGGCACACUGGGACUGAGACACGGCCCAGACUCCUACGGGAGCAGCAGGUGGGAAUAGUUGCACAAUGGGACAAAGCCUGGACUGCAGCGACGCGCGUGAGG